rnacentral:lncRNA from 1 species
AUGGAAGAAAAUUCAAGUUUUACUAUGAUUCUAUUAAUUGUUCACAGGCCAGAAACCCACCUGCGGGAAGUAGAAAGUUUCAAUGCUGUUUUUUGUUUUGUUUUGUUUUGUUUUGUUUUCCACAGACAAAACUCACAGGAAAAAAAAAAAAAAGCUUCUGUAUAUUUUUCCUGCUGGGUGGUCAGAAGGAAAGGCCACGAAGCCAAAGGCCUCCCAUUGAGACAGUGCUCUACGGAAAGCCGACCUCACGUGCAGCAGCCGCAGGAGAUGAGAGCACCUGUCGGGUCUCCGCCACUCCUUGGACCUCUCCUUUCCAAGUGCACCUGUUGAGAUCUGCCCAUCGCCGAAGGUCAUACUUGAGUACCACCACAUCUGUGAGUCUUUUCAGAUUAAGCUUUCCUAAAACUUUGUGUCCUUCUUAUGAUAUUUAACAUAUUUAUCUUGGAAUUGUUUUCUCUGUACCCAUGUACAGAGGCCUGGAGCCUUGAUUAGAGUAAGUAUUCUGAGAUAUGUAUGGGACAGAACUCAGCACCAGUUAUGUACCAAGCCCUCUGGCAGAUUCAGGGGAUACUGGAAGAGUGACUUUCUGAGGGUGAUACAAGAGAAAGUAUGAAGAAUUACUCUGUAAACCCAGAAGUAGUACAUGCAUUUGAAUAGUAUAAAAAUGAUGAUGAUGAAGAUGGUGUUGAUGAUGGUGAAUGUGCAGGAUAUUUGCUUUCCCUCUCUGAGUCUACUCUCCACUUUUGUCAUCCCAUUCUGUCCACUGGGAAGUUGAUCCCUAUGGAUUUCAUCAGCCAGACUCCCUUGCCUUUUGGUCUUCUCUUGCAUUUGGCCAAUAGGAACUAUGAAUAGAAAAUCAGAGUGAGAGGAGAGUUUGGGGGGCAUUUAUUCCAUCAGCUGUCUUUGCUGGGCUUCAGUCUGACAGUGGUUGCAUUCUAGGGGUCAAAGACCCUUUCAGCUAGUUCCCCCACUUGUAAUUAGAGCUCCUGUUGGACUAGUCCCCCUACCCUGUAGUUAGAGCUCCUGCUGGACUCUAGUCACAACUCCCCACCUGGCCUCUUGAGGCCUAGGAUGGUAGUGUCUCCUCAUUGUUGUCAGACCUAGGUGUGUCACUAAUAAGUUUGCUUAAUCCUACCCUAACCACCUUUAAAAACUCUCCAUGAUCCUCUUUUCAGUGAGGCAUUUGUGUUUCUUGCCAGGACCCUGACUCAUGAUAACUGAUGAGGAUGGCAGUAGUAAUAGUGGUUUUGGUGUUUUUCUUUUCUCCAAGCUGGUGGUCUGAGAAUCCUGAUGAACAACUGCUUGCAGAGAAGCUGGGGAAUUAUGGCAGAGACUAGCAGGGUGUUCACUGUGUUGCUUCACAGGUUACUUUUAAACUUGGUGGCUUAAAGCGAUAACAAUGAUUUUUUUUUUACAUUUAAUAAUUUAAAAAAAAAUUUAUAAACAGAUAAUGUAUCAUUAGCCCCAGGGGUACGUAUGUGAAUUGCCAGGUUUACACACUUCAUAGCACUCACCAUAGCACAUGCCCUUCCCAGUGUCCAUAACCCACCACCCUCUCCCUACCCUCCCAACCCCCAGCAAUCCUCAGUUUGUUUUGUGAGAUUAAGAGUCUCUUAUGGUUUGUCUCCCCCCAUCCCAUCUUCUUUCAUUUACUCUUUUUCUACCCCCCAAACCCCCACAUUGUGUCUCCACCUCCUCAUAUCAGGGAGAUCAUAUGAUAGUUGUCUUUCUCCAAUUGACUUAUUUCGCUAAGCAUAAUACCCUCUAGUUCCAUCCACGUUGCAAAUGGCAAGAUUUCAUUUCUUUUGAUGGCUGCAUAGUAUUCCAUUGUGUAUAUAUACACCACAUCUUCUGUAUCCAUUCAUCUGCUGUUGGACAUCUAGGUUUUUUCCAUAGUUUGGCUAUUGUAGACAUUGCUGCUAUAAACAUUCGGGUGCAUGUGCCCCUUCGGAUCACUACGUUGCAAUGACAAUGAUUUAUUAUUUCUUAUAAUUUUUGUGGGUCUUUAAUUUACCUAGUUACUGUAGGAUGGUUUAUUUCCACCUUAUUAUGUCUAAGGCCUGCUCUAGAAGCCUGAAGUCUCACUCACUUAUAGGUCUGGCAGCUGCUCCUGGUUCUCAGCUUGGGAAUCAUUUGGGGCAAUCAGCUGGAGCAUACACAUGUAUCAUAUCCACGUGGCUUGGGCUUCCUCACAACAUGGUGGCUGAAGUCCAAGCAUUCACAUUAAGAGAGAGAGAAUGAACCAAGCCAAAGCCAUAUUGCCCUUUACAACCCAGCCUUGGAAGUCCUACAAUGUCACUUCUACCAGGUUUCAGUAGUAGAAGUAGUUAGAAGUGUCCACCCAGUUUCAAGGGGGAGGACACAUAACCCCAUCUCUCAGUGGAGAAAUGUCAACCUCUGUGAUUGAUUGUUGAUUGUACCAUGUGGACUGAAGUGAUGUAAGCAACUUCUGGACCUACACAUACAUAUUCAUAUGCCACCCACUUUUUCUUCCUAUGCCGUGACAGCUAUGCAGGAUACAUCUUGAAGAUGACACAAAAGUCAAGGACAACCUAACCCAUAUCAACCUUUGUAAGUGAUAACUAAACAUUCAGUAUGUUAACUCUCUGAGGUUUGGUGUUUGCUCCAACAAUUUUAUCCAUAUCCUCAAACUUCAUCUGAGCCACUAGUUUCUUCUUCCUGUCUCAUCAGCAUCUAUCAGGACUACACAUCUAUGAUGAAAGCAAGGAACUGGGGUUAGUUUCUUCUUCCUUGUUAUGUGUGUACCUCUCCCCACUCCAAGUUGUAUUGUGCAGUAAAAUGACUGGGAAGAAGAAGAAGGUCAUGGACUGCCUAAAUCACUGAAAACAGGAUCACUGACUGUGUCCAAAAAGGUCUUAGCCAAGCCAAACAGUGGAAAAGGUGAAAUGUUAACAUGAAUGCAGUAAAUAUUCAGUCCUUCUUUGGAGAAUCUUGAGGAAAAAGGAGAGAGUUGUGUUGGAAAUGACUGACAGGUGGAUGUCUGCAGGGGCCCACCACACCGUAGAAGACUGUCUGGAGGAGAAGGUGUGUCUGAUGUCCUUCCCAAUAAAAAGCCUGGGAAAAAACAUCUGUCAAGUGAUAUUUAGAACUGACAUUUUCAUAAGGAUCCAGUCUAUGGAGGGUUUUUGCAGGGCUUGGAAAAACACAUUUUUCAUUCUUCCUCCUCUCCAUCUCCUGUAAUUAAAUGAUGUUCACAGUGUUAAAUGUAUAUUUAAAAUGACAUGCUUCAAGGAUUACAUUUUAAGAAGCUUUCUAUUUGGAAACAAUUUUGACAAUAAUAAUGAUCAUUUCAAAAAGUAAUAUUUAUUUCCUGAGCUCUUUGAGAGUAAGGUAGAUGCACACAUCAUGGCUCUUUACUCCUAACUAUUUCCUAUUUCCUUCUAAAUGUACUCCAAGCUGGGGUCUGAGACACAGAGUGAUGCCCAAUUUAUGACACUAAGCUUUGGGAAAUGGAAGUCCAGGUUCUGCCUUUAUUUUCCAGCAAUUAGGAUAUUCCUGGAGAGAAAUGUUGGCUGAAAGAUGCCCAUAUGGAGAGACAUCUGCUCUCUUGCCACAGGUGCUGCCUUGUCUAAUAUUUUCAUGUUCUGCUUGGGUGAUGAAAUAGAAGGGAUGUUUGCUGCCCCACCCCCCACCCCAUUCAGGGAUACUGAUUGGGAAUGGGUGGCUAACAUAGUUUCUGGGUCAGAAAAGAUCUUGAUAAACUGGACCUUUACCAAAUUAAAUAUAAAAUAUAUGUUAUAGGGGCACCUGGGUGGCUCAGGCAGUUAAACAUCUGCCUUCCACUUGGGUCAUGACCUUAGGGUCCUGGGAUGUAGUCCUAGUUAGACUCCCUGCUCAACUCAGCAGGGAGUCUGCUUUUUCCUCUCCCUCUGUGCUCUCUCUCAAGUAAAUAAAUAAAAUCUUAAAAAAAUAAAGUAUACAUUGUAUAAGCAUAAAAUUUCUAUUGUAUUACUUCCUAGGUUCUAAGAGACUUUUCUCUACCUUUUAUUGUUUCUAAACUUUAGGUGGCCCCUAAAAUCUAUGUCAAAGGCAGGUAGCUGUGUAAUAGUUAAGGGGAUUGUAAACAGAAAGCCUACCUGUAUGCAGAUGAAGGUCCAACUAAUUGCCCCCUGGGUUUUCUCCACCAUUGGCUGCUCUAUACAGGAAUAAAUUUUCUUCGAGAUAUAAUUUACAUACACUGAAGUCUAUCUUUCUUAUUGUAUGAUUCUAGGAGUUUCAACAAAUACACAGUCAUGUAACUGAUAACAAAAUCAAUGUACGGAACAGUUCAAAUUUGAAUAUAAGCAUAUUGGUAUCUCGUGAUGGUUUAUAUUUGUAUUUAUUUAGUGACAAAUGAUGUUGGGCAUCUUGCCAAAUGCUGAUUUGUCCAUAAAUCAUCUUCUUUGGUGAAAUGUGGGCUCAGGUAUUUUUAAUUUAUUUUUUUUCUUUUUAUUAUAUUUGAUUUUUUUUUAACGUAUUCUGAGUAAGUUCUUUAUGUGUUUUGGAAAUAUUGUCCCUCAAUUUGUGGCUUCUCUUCAUUUUCUUAACAGUACCUUUUAAAAACAAUUUUCAUUUUGGUUAAGUCCACUUUAUCAAUUUUUUUUCUUUCAUGUGUUGUAUUUUUGGUGUCAUAAGUAAGAAAUACAUGUCUAAUCCAAGGUGGCAAUGAUUUUCUGCUGUGUUUUUCUCUAGAACUGUUAUAAUUUUACAUUUAGGUCCAUAAUCCAUGAGGUAUGGAUUGAAGUGUACAUUUGCCUUGGUGACUUUUCUGUGUGUUUGAUUUUUUUCAAAGAUUAUAUUGAGACUGUAUUACAAUAUCUUGUCUGUUGGUGCCAGCCUGAUUGUGGUUCACAUUUAUGGAUAGUAUUUCCAAGGUGUGCUUCUAGGAGAUUUAAGUGAAUUUCAAACUCUGUAGCAAUUCAAGUGCGGAAUGGAAGAGAAGUCUAAAGCUCAGAUCCCAUGUUCAAGACUCUGCACACUCUAAAGCACUUCUAAGGACUUUUGAGGCUCUUCUGAGCAGUUUGAAAGCAUCAAAAAUGUGAUCACUUCGAUCAGGUCAUGAUCUCAAGGUCCUGGGAUUGAAUCCCACAUCAGGCUCUCUGCUCAGCUGAGUCUGCUUCUCCUGUACCCCCUGCUUGUACUCCUUCUCUCUGUGUCAAAUAAAUAAAAUCUUUAAAAAUAUUAUUUUUUAUAUAGUCUGCUUCUCCUGCUCCCCCUGCUUGUACUCUCUCUCUCUCUCUGUAUCAAAUAAAUAAAAGAUUUUUAAAAAUAUUGUAAAUUAUAAUCAUAAAUAUUAUAAUCUAAAUUUAUC